GAUAUCAGGAAAAAGGAGGACAUUGGAAACAUGAAAAAAGGACAUCGAGUUCUGUAUUUCCAAUUUUCAAUUUCGCCGGGUUUCCCUAGAAAGAUACAAAUGCUGGGCGGCGUACAUCGCCACAUACAAACCGCCACGUAAAAUGAUUCUUCUUCCUCCGCUUACUUCCUGGCUCUAAUCACUCUUCACACUUAAAUUCAAAUUCAAUCGUCCAAAACGAUGUGCCUGCCGCCGCUGCCGCCGCCGGAGUAGGUGGAAGUCAGAAUUCCUGAAGCUACUCUGACGCCGUACUUCACUCCAUCCCUCUAACACUUAUGCCUCUCCGUCUUCAAAAGAUGUUGAACCCGCUUGACAUUGGCAAAAAGAAACUUUUGGAGCAAUGUUUUCUUUUUGCCAAUGUCAAGCGGGUUCAUGAUAUGCCCGGGGCCUUGAUGACAUUUUUGCCAACUCCAAUGCAUUUAUGGUGGGGCGAUGAACGGAAAUUUCAAUUGAGAAGAUAUUCUUGGUUCAAAAGGUAACAUCCUAAGGGUAUUUGCUCUUCGACAUGCCAAAACAUAAGUGCUAUGUAAGGAAGGUGAUUCUGUUGUAGCCAUGCACUGCAUUGGAGCUGCCUCUGGGGUCUCAAGGUUGUUACAUCAAGAGAUGACUUUUGACUCGUGAUUUGUUCUAGUUUCGAUUGUUCCAAAUGGGUGACUGAUAAAUGCUUCUCUUAUUCCGCUGAAUCAUUUUCCAGCUUCUAGAGAUGGACUUCCGGCUUCUAGAGAUGGACUUAUGACUAUGGCUUCCCAUAUUUCUUUGUGCUUGCAACACCUCGUUUCUACUACAGAAUUUGGGAAUGAGGCGUGUUGUUGUUGUUUUCGCUUUGAAAUUAUCUGGCUAAAGUGGAGCCAUCUGCGAAUUAUAUACUGAGACUUACAGGCUCUAGAUUAAAAUUGUCCUGUUCCUCACAGAACUUUUGCCCACUAUGACUCAUUUCUCAGCUUUCAUCUGAUGUUUCAUGAAAGUAAUGCGUAUUUGAUCGUCCAUGUGUCUUGUCUGCUGCCAAGUUGUACGUAACAUGACACUUGAGAGAUUGGAAAUGCCAAAGAUGUCAAUUCUCAACUUUCUAUGUAUAUGACAUGAAUAUAUAAUUGGUCGUCCAUGUGCUUGUCAGCUGCUACAAAUUCGAUUUGUCGUGGUAAAAGGGUUAAAAUUAAACUUCUCUUAGGUUAACCAGCUCGAUAGUUUGACAUGACGUGAUAUUUGUGCAUUUUGAAUCAAGUCCGUAUGGUUUUCCUUUGAGCGCCUACCAUUUAGAGAUCCUUAUAUUAUACAUGUAGGUUCUCAAUCUUUUCAGUUACUAAUAUGAGAUUUUGUUGUACAUCCAA